UGGGGGGGCAGGGUUGGGUUGGCUUUAAAGCUGUAGCCACCUAACUUAAGUGACACUCUCUAGUUAAGGAGGAUCAGAUUUCCAAUCCAAUGGGAGCCUGCGAGGUGGGGAAGUGAGGGAAGGAGGGUGAAUUCCUGGUUCUGUGGUGCCCACUCUAUCACUUGAUCCUGCCUCAGAGUUAUCGUUUGUACUUAAAAGCUCCUUUUUUUUUUUUUUUUUUUUUGCCAUUAGAGGGGAUAAUUCUAUAAGAUGUAUUCCAUCAGGAUACUUAGUUAUGUGAAACUUUUUUUUUUUCCUACCAUUUCAUUUGGCUGUCACUACACAGUGGACCCACCUGCGAGCUUAACUAGAAGUAUAUCAAGAUAGCCUUCGGCAGGACGCCAAAUUUAAUUAAAGGAAACCUUAAAAUGUAUGUACACGUGAAAGAAUAUGACUAGUAUGUGUAGAUAUACUACUAAAGUAAGGCCACAAAGUCUUAGAACUUUAUAGAAGAAAAGAACCUUAGCAAUUAAGGACCUCAGGGUCUUUUUUCCCCUCCCCCACAACAUGCUCAGUAACAAUGUUUUGACAUAAGGAAUCCCACCUGAGAAGGAGACCAUCGAUGCCAUAGCCUGGAAAGCUCCCCUUUCUCAUUCUUCCUUCUUACCAACCGUAUUCCCUUUUAGAGAUCAUUUGGUGCCAAUGAAUGAUAAAAAUGAUAGGGUGAUUUAUAGACUAUCCCUGUUUUGUUGACCUGACUAUUGCUUCGUCUUGACCUGGAGGACAUAAGGCAGCUAUCUACAGGGCCACGGGAUGCAAAACAGCAAGUCCCAUCUGCAGAGCAGCUAACUGGCACGGCGCCUUCUUUAGCCAGAAAGACAAUUAUGUGACAGACUCCAAGAGCUGGGCCUGCCUGAGGAGAACGUGGCUUAGAGGCAAAGUGUGCUCACACAUGGAGUGUGUUAGGCACUUUCCACACCUUCAUUCUAAUUAUCACAGCCCAGAAAAACUUGAGUUUGGAUCCCAGCUCUUCCUUCUGAGCCAGGCAACAGUGGAGAAGUCAUGAAGCCCUUUGCCACAGUCUCUUCAUCUCUUAAACAGCGACGACCAUACCAGCCUCACCAGCUUCUGGAAAGAGCAGCGAGCUUACACCAGAGUUCUUAGUGCUUGGCCUGCUGUAAGGUUUCUACAACUGUCGGUAGCAUUAUUGUUGGGGCUGUGGAUUGCCAUGGGGAUUAUAUGAAAUACUCUGUUUAGAAACUCCUGCCACACUUUGGAAUCAUUAUUAUGCCACUUAGUAUUACAGGGAGGGUUUGUUUUUAACCACACACAUUUUCCUUUGGCACCACUCCCUGCUUUUUGACUCCCAUUUAGUGCUGUUUGGUAGAACUUUCUGUGAUCAUAGAAAUGGUCCAUAGUCUGUGCCGUCCAAUAUGACAGCCAUUAGCCAAAUGUAGCUACUGAGCUCCGGAGAUGUGGCCAGUGCAACCACUUCACAUCU
rnacentral:lncRNA from 1 species